ACAGUUCCAUGAAGCCACAGGAACUGAUUAGAAGGGCGGCCAGAGCCUGGUGCCGUUUAUCCGAGGAAAAAAAAAAUAUAUACCGGCGCAUGGCAUAAAAGACGCAAAGUGUGCAAUCCUGAAAAAUGCGAGAAAUCUUAGGUGGCUCAUCUAAGUCUUCUUCAAUCAAUCCCCGUCUUCUGGCCCCUGCUAAUUUUGAUGAGCUAUGGUGGCUCAUCUAAGUCGUCUUCAAUCAAUCCCUGUCUUCUGCCCUCGGCUAAUUUUGAUCUGAAAAAUUAAGGUUUAGGUUUCCAAAACAGUCUAUAUUAUUAAUAAAGCAUAAAUUAUUUUUUCGGCC